GGCAUUUUAAGUUUGGCUUCAACCAGAGCUUAUUUUAUCUCCGUCACAGGGCAUUUCACCUGGUGAAAUUCUCAUCUCAGUAGCAUCUUGGAACUUCUUUUUGAUUGCAUCCUUGGAGCUUGCAUAGAUCAUCUUACUUUUGAGAGGUGCUUGUUCUGGUGCCCACAAGAAGAACAUCAGCUCUUCUUUUUUGGAUUCCUUGGUCUCAAAACUUGCAUCAUACAAGGCAUAACGGCAAUCCUUCUCGGGAAGCAUCUGCACAAAGUGCUUGAAAGGGUCAGUAACCGUCACACCAACAUCUCCCACUAGAAUCUCUUUGCCUUCUUCCACGAUAAUGCACUUUUUGUCUGGACUGAGGCAGAAGAUGACAGCCUUCUUCCUCUUCUUCACUUCCUCAGGCGUAGAGCAUUUCCGCACUUUCAUGUCGUAGAAGAUACGGCAUACCUCAUCGGCAACUUGUACUCCAGAUGCCAUGGUGUCGGCGGAGCGGCGGCUGCUGCUUCCCUCGGGUGCUGGGCGCGGCGCGGGCUCCGGCAGCAGGAAGGGAAGCGGCGAGGGCGCGAGCCGAGCGGAAACGCUGCCGACGUCACGGCCGCCGUGCCCGGCGGAGGAAGCGGUUGUUAUGGUGGGACCCUGCGUGGCAACGCCCCGGCCCGCUCCCCUUUCCAGACUCGCGCAUGCGCGCACCCGCAAACACCACCCACACACCGCCCGCACCGGGGGGAGCGCUCC
rnacentral:lncRNA from 1 species